ACGUCUUCUGUGGGGUGGGAAGCAGGCGGGGUCAGGCUGAAGGCCAGCCUGCCAGCCAGGGCAAGGCUGUGGGCGGAGGCAGGGCGUGGCCGUGACGGACCCCACCGUCCUCCCCACCCCAGGAGCUGAGGCGUUCACCCCUUCCUGUAACUGUAAGCCUCCUGGAUGGUCCUGUGACAGCCCCACUCCCUUCCGUAGAUCCCAGGAGCCCUGGGACCCGUGGGGAGUGGGGUCUGAGUGAACCCCUAUGGGUCCCCUUCCAAUGGUGAGCCCCAUAAGGAGAUGCUUUGGCCUCAUGGGGACAGAAGGAAGAAGUGGACACCGCCGGGUGAGGCUAGCAUCCAUGACAUACUGGGGUGACCGUGUGGACCCGGGAGGCCGUGGAAGAGGAAACGUGUGUGUACAGAUGUGCGUGCAGGUUAGUGCUGGUUUCUCACGCGGCUUCUCCGAUGUUGAUCCUGAGUCUGCAGUUAUCACGCAGGGGUGGCCCCUACCCCCGCGCCCUCCCCUCUGCGGCCUGCUCGCCACCUCUGCCUCUUGGGAGGAAUUUCAGUGCCUGGGCAGGCCUUGUGCACCAGCUGUUGCCAGGUGUGGGGAACACAGGGAACAGAACUGCAUCUCCCGUGAGUCCUGGAGUGUGGAGCCAGCCAGAAAUAGCAGGGCAGAUAAGAUGGCAGCGAACCAGGACCGAGAGGCCGAGGAGGCCCGCGCCCCUUUAUCAGCCCCCAGGAAGGGAAGAGCGGACUGGGGGCAGCAGGAGCGGUUCUGCCGUCUCAGCUUCAGGGCUGCCAGCCCACCCAGAAUGCCUGGGUCCCGGCCCAGGGCUCUGACCACUGGGCCGCCCUCCUCCCUUGCCCCUGCAGGGGCAGGGCUUGGCACCAAGAGGGUGACCAGUGUGAGCUGGGUCCCAGCAUCACAGUCACACGGGCCAGCCAGCACCACGCGGCCCUAUGGGGGACCGGAAACACCCAUUCCUGUGACGGUCAUCCCCCUGCACAGACAAGGACAUCGAGGCCCCUGGAGGCUAUGCGGCUAGCAGGCUAGCAGUGGGGCACCGGGGUCCAAACCCAGAGGCCUGGCUCCAGGGGCACCCCUGCUUGUGACAGUGGUGGGGGGGCCCGGCCCCUCAUGUCCUGGCUGUACCUGCGACUCUGGCCCACCUGGCCAGGCCUCGGGGGUGGGCAUGGGAGAGAAGAGACUCCCCCGAUGGGAGCUCCUGGUGUGUGCUCAUCUGUCCCUCUGUCUGGCCUCCGGCGGGUCCUGACUGCCACCAUCAAGUGAGCCUGUGUGUCACCCCCGAGUCAGGGCUGGGGCCACAGGGAAGCAUGUGGAAUCCCAUCCGGACCGUCAGAAACGCUUGGAGCUUCGUGGGGUGGGCCCUGCAUGCAGGCCUCUGCUCUCCUGCUGGGUCCUGGGGGGCAGGGCGGGGUGGGGGGCGAAGAGGACCCCUUGUCCGAGAAGCCCCUGAGGGCACGUCUGGACCCAGGAGUGGCUGCGACUUCCUUUCAGAGAGGGAAGGGGUGACAUGCCUUCCCCUCGGGUUCCAGAACAUUCCUGACCAGAGUCCCUGCUGUUCCUGAGACACUGCUGUGCACCUGGGGCUGGUGCCCACCUUUCCAGGGGUAGGAGGAGCUUGGGCCUGCAGCGUCCACACCUGCUGCGUGUCACACCUCAAGGGUGCUGAGGUCCCUGUCCUGGCAGCCCUGGGCUCUCACUUGCCCCCUGCCCUCAUGGGGAAGUGGGAGGGCAGAACUGGUGCCCACCCUACCCGGCCCACGAUGCACCCACAGGCAAACGGUCCUGCUCCCUAAUCGGAGCUCCAGGGCCAGCCGGCCAAGCCUCCCAGAUAAGAGCGUGGCUGGCAUUUCCCGUGGCGGCCGCCCCUUCUGGGUAUCACACACUGCCAGAGAGGGCUGGCUCUGAUAAAGGUGGCCGUUCCACUCGCCCAGGGGCAGAACCCACCACUCAGGGAUGGCCGGGGGCUGGGCGAGGGGCCUCCAAGGAGUCCAGGGAUCGGAGGGGUGUGGGGCUGGGGACCAGGGCAAUGGUCACCAUGACAACCCAUCUCCCUGGACCAGGGUUCAGGAUGCGUCUCCAAGGGGCUGUGCACGGGAAAGGUGCCUCUUGGGGGUGGAUGCAGGUGCCUGGAUUGGUAAGGGGAGCAUGGCUGAUCUUAGCCCCAGCUCACCCCAGGUGCCCUUCCGCAGCAUUCGACCUGUGCAACUGAACAUGGAGGCCGUGGUGGUUCUCAAUGCUCUUCUGCUCACAUAACCUAUUUCCAGCCCCCUGUUCCUGCAGAGACCCUCUCCCAACCGGAAGUAAAAUCGCAUUGGAAAGUGGGGGUGGGUGAGGCCUCCUACUCCUGGCAGAUGGGGUGCCUCCUGAGGACUUGACUCAAGGCUGAGAAUGGAUGGAAGUGUCCGUGAGUGAGGGUGAGGGGCCUGGAGCCUAGGGCCGGGGGAUGCUGAGCUGGGUGGGAAUGGGCAGGAAGACACAGGCAGUUGUUUUUUUAAAUGGCCUCUGAAAUGGCUGGGGGAUCCAGACAGUGGCACCCAUGGAGAUGGUCAGCACCCAACCCCACCACCAGGAAGCCUGGGGCCCGGCGAGGCUGAGGAGUGCCCAAGCCACACUGGGAGCUGUGGCUGGAGCUCCAGAACAACUGGGUGAGCCCAGCAGAGAUGCCAGCUCCGGCCAGGUUGUCUCUGCAGCUGAAGAAUGGGGAUGCUAGCUGUGGCUCCCAAAAACCCACGAACCCAACAUGAGUGCCCACCCCACGGACCCAACAUGAGUGCCCGCCCCACGGACCCAACUGAGUACCUGCCCCACGGACCGAGCCUCAGCCAGGCCCAGCAGGACUUGUCCACAUGGGUCUUAAGGCCCUCCGAUGACACCCCACGGGGAUGGAAGCAGUGGGGGAUCGAGGACCAGGCAGAGCUUGACGCUGCUGGCUGAGCCAACCCCACAGAGUGGGGAACCUGGCUGAGGGGAGCCCGGUGGGUCUGGCCAGGGUCCAGGGCCUUUUGGGGGUGCCUGGGGAGGGAGAGCUGGGGUUUGGAAUCCACAGGCCUGGGGCCAAGUCUUGCCUCUGCCCAGCUUGCCAGCGGUUGUGUGUGCUCUGAGCCUCAGUUUACCCAUAUGGAGAAGGGGGUGCCAGCAUGACGUUCCCUCGGGCUCGUGCCGUGAGGUUAGGGGGUGUGUCUGCCGGUGCAGCCAGCACUGUUCUCUUUCUCCUAGCUGCCCAGAUGGGCUGAGAAGCUGCACCAGGUGGGCAUUCUAAGGCCUGGGGCCCAGCCCAGGGCUGCCCCCUGGGACUUGGCCUUCACCCCUGGGCUCUGGCUCUGCCCCCGAGGCCCUAGAGGACCCUGUCGCCUCCCUCAACAACGUGGCCAACAGUGCCCAGCACAGGAACCGUGGCCCCCUCCGUGAGGCGCGUGUGGCAGCAAGCCGGUGGAGGAGCGUCUGCUCCCAUCCCACAGGCCCAGAGACUCCAGCAAGCAGCUGGGGGUCACACAGCAGGGAGGGCAGUUGCUCCCAAGACCAGACCCUGAAGCUGCUCUCUGACAGAGGAUCCAAGGCUACACCCAGGGUCUUCUGCCUCCUGAACCCACUCUGCUCAGCUUCCCGCCUCCCUGGGCCUGUUUCUCCACCUGCUCCUGAACCCACUCUGCUCAGCUGCCCGCCUCCCCGGGCCUGUUUCUCCACCUGCUCCUGAACCCACUCUGCUCAGCUGCCCGCCUCCCCGGGCCUGUUUCUCCACCUGCUCUUGAACCCACUCUGCUCAGCCGCCCGCCUCCCCAGGCCUGUUUCUCCACCUGAGCCAUGGCCCUGGCAGGCUGGCUCACAGCUCUGACUUGAGGAGGCAGGUGAAGGCGUCACCCUGUGAGUCUGCAGACGUCCGGGAACCGGGGCCCCUCCUGCACACAGCUGGCCUUCCCGCCUUCCAGGGGCCAGCCUCCGUGUGUGCCUAAUGGCUGGUAGUCUCUGGAGUGCAAAGUCCAGCCACCCCAGAUGGUGGGCUCUGUGGUUGGUGCCCACCGUGGGUCACCCCAGCACCCACUUAUCUAAUCGGCCCCAUCGCUACGCCCGGCCCCACCCUGUGGCUCCCAUAGGCCAGCUGGGCCCAGCUUUGUUGGGAGCGGCCCUGUCUCAGGGAUCAUGCUGUUUGCUUUUGAUAAAAGUCACAAAAAAGGAAAGAAAAAGGAGUGAGGGGGAGGGAAGGAAAAACCCCAGGCUGACGAGGUUCUGGAAGCCUCUGUGGGUCAGCGGGCUGGCGGUGAGGCUGGUGCACAGACCACGUGGGCCCCGAGAACACCAGCUUCCAACACGUCCUGUACAGACACAGAAACCGAGGCCAGAGGGGCAAGCGGCUCCCCAAGGUCACAUGGGAGGCAGACCAGGGUGGCCAGGGGUCAGCUGCGUGGGGCGGGGCAAGCCAGCCCCUCUGUCCACCAUGACGCGCCGCGUGCAGAUUCGCUUGCUGAUCACAUGUGCUCGGUUCCCGCGCAGGCAAACCCCGCGGGGCCCCUGAGGGCCUGGAGCCCAUUUAACAGGGGGCGAGGUGACCUGCCCAAGGUCACCAGCUCCAAAGUCAGACCCUCCUGGGGGAAAAAGCCCAUAAUCUGGGUGGCAGCUGAGGCCCCAGGACAGAGAGAGGCGACAGAAGGGGAGGGGGGAGGCUAAGUAGCUCCUCCCCCGCCCCGUGACCUCCACGCAAACUCUGUGUCCCCUCUGCAGCCUCAGCAGCGGGCCCUGGCUCUGUGUGCUGCAGCCACCUAUGGGAGGCAGAGCCCUGGUUCCCAGGAUUCACCAACCAGGGCCCACGGCAGGCACCGAAGGCCACAUCUGGGAGAGGUUCAGAAAUCUUGCACUGUCGCCCAGCCUGGAGUGCAGCGGUGCAAUCUCGGCUCACUGCAGCCUCCACCUCCCGGGUUCAAGCGAUUCUCCCAUCUCAGCCUCCCGAGUAGAUGGGAGUACAGACAGGAGCCGCCGAGCGGAGCAGGCAGAAGGCCACCUGGAAAGGCCAGCAGGGCCGUAGCCCUCACUCGCGGCAGUGGCCCCGGCUGUGGCACUCGGGACAGCCGAGAUGGAAGGAACAACGUGACAUGCGCUAGCGAGAAGGGAGACGGAGCCGCAGGCGGAUGAGACGCGGGUGACGGGAGCCAUGGAUGCACCAGAGCUUGGAGACAAAGCCACUCGAGGGCUCUGCACAUUAGCCUGGCUUCUGGGGGCCUGAUGAGGGUUCCCACCCUGCCUCCUCCUGGGUCCCCCCAGCGCCCCUCAGAGGGUCCAGGUCCUUGCAGGAGGGCUGGGUCUGGGAGAGGCGCAGAGGAGCCUGGGAGCUGCACACCCAGAAUGGGUAGAGAAAUGGAUCAGCUUCGCUGUUGAAAAACCAGAUGUCACAUACGUCUGGGCCCUCUGGCCACACUGGGGAAAUGGCUCUGCUCCUCAGAGCUGUGCCCCGUGCACACCCAGUGAUGGCCACCACCCUGCGGACGCACACUCAGUGCACAGCCUGCCCUGCCCGCCCGCCCCCAUUCAGUCCUUUCUGGAUUAUUCUGUGUUAUUGUGUGCCCAGCAUUGCAGUUAAGCCCCAGCACAAGACCUGAGUCCAUUUCACUGAGGGGAAACAAAGGAGGGGCCUGCCCAAGGCCCCCCAGCGCCCUGCCCUGGAAGACCCUAGGCCCAUCACCUCCUGGGAGGCUUCCAGCUCCUCUACCCUGGUCCCCCUGCCCUGGUGCCCCCCCACCCCUGCCCUGGUCUCCCCACCCCCUGCUCUGGCCUCCCCGCCCCCUGCCCUGGUCUCCCUGCCCCCUGACCCUGGUGCCCCCCAACCCUGCCCUGGUCUCCCUGCCCCUGGUCUCCCCACCUCCUGCCCUGGUCUCCUCUGCCUUCUGCCUGGCAUGGCCCCUGUUGGCCUCCUGGCCAUGAUGCCUGGCCUCUGCUGGGCCACAAACCUCAGAGCACCCUGGAGGCCAGUGGAGAGCCCAGGGUGGGGUUGGCCUAGAGCCCCAGGCCUCCUGGACAAGGGUUUUCUUCUCACCCCAGGCCAGAGGUUAACAAAGGGCUUCGAACCACAGAACCUGCCUUCCGGAGAUGUUUCCCCCAGACCCUGCACUCACUGUGGAUGGCUGUGGGGGGCC